UAAGGAAUAUUGGUCAAUGGACGCAAGUCUGAACCAGCCAUGCCGCGUGAAGGAUGAAGGUCCUCUGGAUUGUAUACUUCUUUUAUCUGGGACGAAAACGGGAUUUUUAUCUCAAUUGACGGUACCAGAGGAAUAAGCACCGGCUAACUCCGUGCCAGCAGCCGCGGUAAUACGGAGGGUGCGAGCGUUAUCCGGAUUUACUGGGUUUAAAGGGUGCGUAGGUGGGCUUAUAAGUCAGUGGUGAAAUCUCCGAGCUUAACUUGGAAACUGCCGUUGAUACUAUAGGUCUUGAAUUAUCUGGAGGUAAGCGGAAUAUGUCAUGUAGCGGUGAAAUGCUUAGAUAUGACAUAGAACACCAAUUGCGAAGGCAGCUUACUACAUAUAAAUUGACGCUGAGGCACGAAAGCGUGGGGAUCAAACA
rnacentral:rRNA from 1 species